AGCUUAAUUCAGCUUAAUUAAUACAGUUGAAGUCACAUUUGUCUAGACAUUAGAAUUCAUUUUUGCAUAAGGCGAGGACUGUAGGUUUUGUCCUCUGUGGAGUUGUGCUACAACAGGUGGGGAGUUGUCACUUGUCAGACGGUGAAACAGGCGUCCUGAGGGAAGUUCAGGGAGGACAGAAAGCUCCCCGUGGAGCAGAAGGGCAAAAGUUCACUUGAUCUUGAUCGUCCAUGUGAAUACAGACCGUGAAAUUGGGGUCUCGUGAUAAUUUUGGCAUGUUAUGUUUUAAGCAGGAGGUGUCAGAAGAGUUAC
rnacentral:ncRNA from 1 species